GGACGCGUAGCUCAGCUGGCUAGAGCGCCACGUUGACAUCGUGGAGGUCGGGGGUUCGAGCCCCUCCGCGUCCA
rfam:Gloeobacter violaceus PCC 7421 DNA, complete genome.